UGGGGAAUAUUGCACAAUGGGGGAAACCCUGAUGCAGCGACGCCGCGUGAGUGAGGAAGUAUUUCGGUAUGUAAAGCUCUAUCAGCAGGGAAGAAAAUGACGGUACCUGACUAAGAAGCCCGGCUAACUACGUGCC
rnacentral:rRNA from 1 species